rnacentral:tRNA from 1 species
ACGCCGAUGGUGAAGCAGUUAUCAUGCUUGCCUUCCAAGCAAGCGGCAGGGGUUCGACUCCCCUUCGGCGUA